rnacentral:rRNA from 1 species
GACAGAGGGUGCAAACGUUGCUCGGAAUUACUGGGCGUAAAGCGCGUGUAGGCGGACCACCAAGUCGGACGUGAAAGCCCUGAGCUCAACUCAGGAACUGCAUCCGAAACUGGCGGUCUGGAGUAGUGGAGAGGAAAGCAGAAUUCCUGGUGUAGAGGUGAAAUUCGUAGAUAUCAGGAGGAACACCGGUGGCGAAGGCGGCUUUCUGGACACUUACUGACGCUCAUGCACGAAAGCGUGGGGAGCAAACAGG